rnacentral:lncRNA from 1 species
AUUUAGUCUACCAUGGUUUACCUAUAAUUCGGUGAUGUUGGACUGUAAGGACUGGAAGGAGACAACCUUGGACUGCUUGGUGAGUAUGCUAGAGAUGGACUGUACUUGGCUGAUUGCGGAUUGUAACUUGGAGAGGUAGGGCUAUAGCUAGGUGACGUGGGACCGUAACUUGGUGAGGUCGGACUGUACCCAGGAGAAGUGGGGCUAUAUGCUGGGGAAGUAGGGCUGUAUGAUGGAGAUGUAGGGCUAUAGGAGGGUGAGGUUGGGCUGUAAGAAGGAGAUGUCGGACUGUAUGAUGGCGAUGUUGGGCUGUAUGAUGGAGAAGUGGGGCUGUAUGCAGGUGAAGUUGGGCUAUAUGCCGGUGAAGUAGGGCUGUAGCUUGGUGAAGUUGGACUAUAGCUGGGAGAUGUGGGACUAUAACUUGGUGAAGUAGGACUGUAACUUGGAGACGUAGGGCUGUAGCUUGGAGAGGUAGGGCUAUAGCUUGGUGAGGUUGGAGAAUAAGAGGGACUUGUAGGAGAGUAGGCUGGACUUGUUGGGCUGUAACCUGGUGAACUAGGACUGUAAGUAGGUGAUGUGGGGCUGUAACCAGGCGAGGUAGGACUGUAGCCAGGAGAUGUAGGGCUGUAACCAGGCGAGGUAGGACUGUAGCCAGGAGAUGAAGGACUGUAGCCAGGAGAUGAUGGGCUGUAACCAGGGGAUGACGUGGGAGAGAAUGCCAUCCCGCCAACAUAAGGUGAGAACUGAGCAUCCGAAAUGGGAGAGAGACGGAGAUUUGGGCUCAGCAAGUAACUUGGAGACAUCAUGCCUUCAUGAUAUGGAGUUCCUGAUACUGGAGAUCGAGCA